rnacentral:tmRNA from 1 species
GGGGGUGUCUUGGUUUCGACGGGAAUACGUUUGGUAUGGAGUGCAGUCGGCUGAUCUCGUUAACGAUCACCAAAAAAUAUCUGGAAACAGAACACAAAAUUACGCUUUCGCUGCUUAAUUAAGCCAUUUGUCCCAUUAAUCGGGAAGCAAGCCAUCACUUAAAACUGGAUCUCUAAGUUUUAAACUGGUGCAAUAAGAGAGAAUAAGGAUAUAAGAUAUCUAUAAUUAUAUCUCGAAAAAAAUAUAGAUUAGCUCAAGUUUAUUUGUUUGCUUUUUCAACUUGAGUGAAACUUGAAAGCAAACUAAACUGUAGGACUCUGUAUGGGACGAUUUUCGGACGCGGGUUCAAAUCCCGUCACCUCCACCA